UGCCUCUCUAGCGUGGGCUGUGGCUUGCUGCAUCGAAAAUGGAGAUGCCCGUCAUUUUCCCGCCUAAUUGGACAGCCUGGGCCUUGUUUACCUGCUCUGGGAAACGCAGCUAGCAAUUCCCGCCCAGGCGGUUCCCGCUGAUUGACUGCAACAGCAACGAAUGCCAAAUCUACGCACUAAAAUAAUCAUAUACAAAACGGCGUAGGAUCAAACCAUGGGACCGCUUGGACCAUGGUUGAUUCUCCGGGCCCAAAUAUACCUCCCGAAACUUUCGUAGAACCCAAUUUCACACCUCAACCCAGCCAAACCCUGGUGAAAAU
rnacentral:sRNA from 2 species